UCACAUCAACACAUAAUCACAAUAAUGCAUCAUUUUCAAUGUAUAGAUAUAUUUUUAAAGGAUAUGUGAGUAAAUCAUAGUUGUGUAUGAGAGGAUGUUUCAAUUCAAAGAGGCAGUUAUUACUAAUGAUAAUGAUCCUUCUUUUUCUUUUCAGAUUUUCCUUUUAAUGAUAAGUGCAAUAAACUAUAGCAACGUAAAGCGAAUUACUGUUAGAUGUGUGAGUUGGAAAUUUAAUUUAAUAGUACUUUGAGAUUGGAGGAAAUUGCUUUUAUAAAAUGAUAUUUAGGAGAAAGGAUAUGACUUUUUUAAAGGACGGGUAUGGAACUGUAAUAUAUGAAUGAAAUUUGGAGAAAUUAAUCGUUGUAUUAUGCAGAUAGGAAACAGAGAUUAAAGAUUAUUAAAUUAUACUAUGACAUGUAAAUGACUUUGGUUAAAUGGAUUUUUCUGGUUUAACGUGAGAUUAAUUGUUUACUUGAUACGAUGGUUGCAUGCCACCAAAUGUUUAAUCGUUAUUAACUGUCGAUAAAGAAUUUCUUAUCCUUGCAACAUAAUAAUUACCCAAGCUUAAUUCAAAUCUAAUGUUAAUCAACAAAGUAGCAAUCGCGCAUAGUGCUACUACUACUGUUACCUCGCAAACUCGAAGUUAUGGUAUCGUACGUAUAAACCAAUAAUUACGAUAAAAUCCAAUCUAGCAUGCAAUGCAUCGUUCAUUAUUCUAAUUACGGUGAGCAAUAUCUAACGUAGGUGUAAAAUUUCACCUAAGUUUCAAAGCGUUGGAUGAUUUAUGGUUACGAGAAUUUUACUAAAAUGCACUUUUAGAACGUUACUCGUCUCGUUAAUAAUUUUUUUGACACGGCAUAAACGACCCUUAUCUUAACUUCAUAAUGUACUAUGACGAGAUCCAUCUUUGAAGAAUGUCUAAUCUGAUCCUAUAAUUUAAAAAUGCUAUGAAAAGAAAUUAGAAUUAUCGAAGUUAAUUUUAACCAUAAAUCAUUUUCAGUUUGCAUUAACCGUGCCAUAACCUACGAUUCAAAAUUCCUGCCAUACAUUCGACUCAAGAGUUAAUUGCAUUAAUAGUCCAAUAAACGAAUUAAUCCUUUCUCCGCUACUCUUUACGACUCGAUGCUUCUAAAUUACAAGAAUCUCAGGAUUAAACCGUGCAACUUACACGGCACGGUUAAUUAAACGACGCGUUUUAUCGUCUGAAUAGAGUCUCCCUGCCGCGUCUCGAACCAAUCCUCCCAUUCUUAUGCAAAACUCGCGCGAUCGAUCCUAUCGAUCGAUGUUAACGAAAUACCGGUACGAAACCUCAAAAAAAAAAAAAAGGCUUGGUCUGUAAUUCAUAAGAGCCGAAACUUGGUCCGGCUAAUUCAGAAAUUGCCCUCCCCCGUAUAAUUAUAAACCGAGUGUCCACCAGUGUAUCAGGCUUUAUUAUCCUAAUUUACGCGCUCCUUAUUGCGCAAUUAGGCGACGUGAUACCGGGAUGAAUUUACGAGGGAGACGUGGAGGGAAAGGUUUCGAGAUGAUUGAAUGAUGGUUCUUGGAAAUGAUCAAAACAUCGUUUACCAGAACGAUUUAACGACUUGCCGGAGGGUUAAUGAUAUAACCAUAAUAAAGAACGAUAAUAAGCUUCGAAUCCAAGCAGGAAGUUGCUCGGUGUAUUAACUACUAAGCUUAUCCUUUAAGCUUUAAUUCCUGGUGCACUUCUCUCGGAGUUAUUCGAUAAUUUUUAAAACAUUAUCCUACUCGCAUCCCUCGAGUAAACCGAUAAAAUUCGAAAUCCAAUAUAUACAACAAUUGAAUCAAUCUCUCCUCCAUCGCGACAAGCCUCGAACCGGCUUUCCCUCGAAUCCAACUGGUGCAAAGGGAACAAGAGAAAAUUUGCAAGUAUCGGUGCUCACCAUCGAAUAUCCAGCGGCCUAUCUCAAGGAGAAUCGCUCAUAAAUAUUUAUCCGGGCGGUAUUAUCGCGAAUACAGGCCUGUCCAAGCGUUCAAGUCUCCGGAAGUCGGGCAUCGAUCCGGCCUUGAUGCACUCGUGGAUCGGUUCAUCCGGUCGGCUUAGCAGUGUGCUUGUUCAGUUUUCACGAGACUCAAAGCGAAUCGGGACUUCGCGUUAAUCCUCUCUCUUUCUCUCUCUCGCCUAGUCAACUCUGUAUAAUCUUAACUAACGAGAAAGCGGCGGGGUUGGAGUAACACACCGGCGAACCUGUGAAGCCCUGCUCUGUGAAGGGAUCGCCGUCCACGUUUCCACGACUCCUUUUUACGAAGCCACGCGGAAGGAUUAACGUCAGGGUGAUUUUCAACGUGGUUGUUGCUCUAAUGCUGGGACGAGACAGACGUGCGUUUCGUCGUACUUUUUUCUUGGUACAUUUUUAUGAUUCUGGAGUCGAGGAAGAUUGAUUUU
rnacentral:lncRNA from 1 species